rnacentral:rRNA from 1 species
GACGAACGCUGGCGGCGUGCUUAACACAUGCAAGUCGAGCGGAAAGGCCCUUUCGGGGGUACUCGAGCGGCGAACGGGUGAGUAACACGUGAGUAAUCUGCCCUUCACUCUGGGAUAGCCACCGGACACGGUGAUUAAUACCGGAUACGACCAAUCCCUGCAUGGGGUGUUGGUGGAAACUUUUUGGGUGGGGGAUGGGCUCGCGGCCUAUCAGCUUGUUGGUGGGGUAAUGGCCUACCAAGGCUUCGACGGGUAGCCGGCCUGAGAGGGUGACCGGCCACACUGGGACUGAGACACAGCCCAGACUCCUACGGGAGGCAGCAGUGGGGAAUAUUGGACAAUGGGCGCAAGUCUGAUCCAGCCAUGCCGCGUGAAGGAUUAAGGUCCUCUGGAUUGUAAACUUCUUUUAUAAGGGACGAAAAAAGGUCUUUCUAGAUCGUCUGACGGUACCUUAUGAAUAAGCACCGGCUAACUCCGUGCCAGCCGCCGCAGUAAGAC